GAAAAAUAAUAAUAAUAUAAUAACAACAACAACAAUAAUAAUAAUAAAACAAUUGUUGGAUUUUUGGAUAUACAGAAUGAUGAUGAUGAUGAUUACAAUAAUUACGCGACAUAUAUACAAGUAACUCGAGUCACGACUGACAAUUACGCAGACGUGAUUUGAUAAAGGAUAAAAGAAAAAAAAAUAAUAUAAAACAACAACAAUAAUAAUAAUAUUGAGGCAAUAAUGAUGAUAAUGAAACAAUUGUUGGAUUAUUGGAUAUACAGAAUAAUUACGAUGAUGAUUAUAACAUUCAAAUGGCAUAUAUAUAUAAUUCAAAUCAUGACUGACAAUUACGCAGCGUUUCAUAAUCGUCGCCAACUCGCAGGGAACUGGUGUCUCUGGACAUUCCGCCACGACAUGUCAUCCUCCGCCUGAGUGUUCCCGUGCCGGAGUUGCAUGCGGGGAUAUCCCUGGUAAUAUUUUGCAUCAUGUCCUGGGGUCUUCUGGCCCUGAUCAUUCCUAUUCUGUUUAUCUGGUUCGGGAGUGAAGGAGGCGUCGCGCUCUCUUGUGUAGAAGUAAUCGAUAAGGGGAAGUUUGAUCUGGCGGAAUCUCCCUCUCCCCGAUUAGUGGUAAUCCCUGAUCCUGCUAGUGUAGUACUGCUUCCAAUGUUCCGAUUAUGAAAGUCGGCUAAUGCCGCUCUGCAGGUUUCCGGGCAGGUAUAACCCUGUGGAAACACCACAGACACCCCCAUGCUUCCGUGGGUGUCGCGUCGGAUCGUUUCUCCUGUCUCCAUUGCCUCCUGCACGUCGCGUGGGUUAAUGACCUUGCUUGUUGGAACAACUCUGCCUCUCCCCUCCGGCGCUUCCCAAUCGCUUUGAACUGCCGUAACAGCAGCAUCCUCCCACCAUGGGUCCCGAUAAUCCUCUUCGUCCGCCCAUCCAUCGUAGGCGAGACGUCUGGAUGGUCUAGACGUCAUUGCUGAAGAUGAAUAAGUAGAAGUAAACUCAGAAAACUGUUAAUAAUAAUAUCUACCGUAAAAAUAAUAAUAAUAUUAAUAAUGAUAAUAACAACGCCUUAUGAUUAUUGUGCGGGCUCCUUUAGCCUGCGAAAUUCCUUCACUGUCACUGUCACUGGGAGUCCAUUUCCCUUUUUGAAGAUCUGUAUGUUGUCCCCUUCAAUCCGUUAUCCUUUGUACUCAUUUAUCAAUUCUCGCCGGUCGGCUUGUACGCCUUGCACAGACGCCUCCACCGACCACUGUUUAAAGUCGCGGAACCGGUCGGCCGUUCUCAGGGAGACAACAAAGCGGAAGCUCUCCGCCUUCUCCUCCGUCGCCAC
rnacentral:lncRNA from 1 species